GGAAUAUUCCACAAUGGGGGAAACCCUGAUGGAGCGACGCCGCGUGAGUGAAGAAGGGCUUCGGCUCGUAAAGCUCUUUUCUCGUUGACGAAUUAGCCUUUGGGGCAGUUGACGGUAGACGGGGAAUAAGUCACGGCUAACUACGUGCCAGCAGCCGCGGUAAUACGUAGGUGGCAAGCGUUAUCCGGAUUUAUUGGGCGUAAAGCGAGCGCAGGCGGUUUGAUAAGUCUGAUGUGAAAGCCUUUGGCUUAACCAAAGAAGUGCAUCGGAAACUGUCAGACUUGAGUGCAGAAGAGGACAGUGGAACUCCAUGUGUAGCGGUGGAAUGCGUAGAUAUAUGGAAGAACACCAGUGGCGAAGGCGGCUGUCUGGUCUGCAACUGACGCUGAGGCUCGAAAGCAUGGGUAGCGAACA
rnacentral:rRNA from 1 species